rnacentral:rRNA from 1 species
AGUGAACGCUGGCGGUAGGCCUAACACAUGCAAGUCGAACGGCAGCACAGGAGAGCUUGCUCUCUGGGUGGCGAGUGGCGGACGGGUGAGGAAUACAUCGGAAUCUACUCUGUCGUGGGGGAUAACGUAGGGAAACUUACGCUAAUACCGCAUACGACCUACGGGUGAAAGCAGGGGAUCUUCGGACCUUGCGCGAUUGAAUGAGCCGAUGUCGGAUUAGCUAGUUGGCGGGGUAAAGGCCCACCAAGGCGACGAUCCGUAGCUGGUCUGAGAGGAUGAUCGGCCACACUGGAACGGAGACACGGUCCAGACUCCUACGGGAGGCAGCAGUGGGGAAUAUUGGACAAGGGGCGCAAGCCUGAUCCAGCCAUACCGCGUGGGUGAAGAAGGCCUUCGGGUUGUAAAGCCCUUUUGUUGGGAAAGAAAUCCAGCUGGCUAAUACCCGGUUGGGAUGACGGUACCCAAAGAAUAAGCACCGGCUAACUUCGUGCCAGCCGCCGCCGUAA